UACGUAGGUGGCAAGCGUUGUCCGGAUUUACUGGGCGUAAAGGGCGUGCAGGCGGUUUGUUAAGUGCAGGGUGAAAGCUCCCGGCUCAACUGGGAGAGGUCCUUGCAUACUGGCAAACUCGAGGGAGGCAGAGGAAAGUGGAAUUCCCGGUGUAGUGGUGAUAUGCGUAGAUAUCGGGAGGAACACCAGUGGCGAAGGCGACUACCUGGCCUGUUCUUGACGCUGAGGCGCGAAAGCUAGGGGAGCAAACGGGG
rnacentral:rRNA from 1 species